rnacentral:ncRNA from 2 species
UGUGUGAAUCUCCAGAAAAGGUACUUUGGGCCUGAUUUGGAAUGUUAUAGUUUAUACUUACCGAGGAAGCCACCCUUGCUUUCAGGAUGGAUUGUUAGCAGUUCCGUUGGCCUCAGACACCAACUUGAACUGAUCGUCUUGGACAUGUGUCUCCAGUGAAAAUCUGUGACUUUGACUUGGGCAGUGGGAUGAAACUGAACAACUCCUGUACCCCCAUAACCACACCAGAGCUGACCACCCCAUGUGGCUCUGCAGAAUACAUGGCCCCUGAGGUAGUGGAGGUCUUCACGGACCAGGCCACAUUCUACGACAAGCGCUGUGACCUGUGGAGCCUGGG